rnacentral:rRNA from 1 species
AUUGAACGCUGGCGGCAUGCCUUACACAUGCAAGUCGAACGGUAACAGGUCUUCGGAUGCUGACGAGUGGCGAACGGGUGAGUAAUACAUCGGAACGUGCCUAGUAGUGGGGGAUAACUACUCGAAAGAGUGGCUAAUACCGCAUGAGAUCUACGGAUGAAAGCAGGGGGUCGCAAGACCUUGUGCUACUAGAGCGGCCGAUGUCAGAUUAGGUAGUUGGUGGGAUAAAAGCUUACCAAGCCGACGAUCUGUAGCUGGUGUGAGAGGACGAUCAGCCACACUGGGACUGAGACACGGCCCAGACUCCUACGGGAGGCAGCAGUGGGGAAUUUUGGACAAUGGGCGCAAGCCUGAUCCAGCAAUGCCGCGUGCAGGAUGAAGGCCUUCGGGUUGUAAACUGCUUUUGUACGGAACGAAAAGCCCUGGGUUAAUACCCUGGGGUCAUGACGGUACCGUAAGAAUAAGCACCGGCUAACUACGUGCCAGCCGCCGCCGUAAAAC